rnacentral:rRNA from 1 species
UGAGUACGAGAUGCUACGGCAUUGAAGCAGUCUAUGUCAGACUUCCAAGAAAAGCUCGGAAUAUCAUAGACAAAAAAUGCCUGUACCAUAACCGACACAGGUGGGUAGGUAGAGUAUACUAAGGGGCGCGAGAUAACUCUCUCUAAGGAACUCGGCAAAAUGACUCCGUAACCUCGGGAGAAGGAGUGCCUUCUUUUAGAAGGUUGCAAUAACAAGAUCCAAGCAACUGUUUACCAAAAACACAGGUCUCCGCUAAGUCGUAAGACGAUGUAUGGGGGCUGACGCCUGCCCAGUGCCAGAAGGUUAAAGAAGUUGGUUAGUUUCGGCGAAGCUGAUGACUGAAGCCCUGGUGAACGGCGGCCGUAACAAUAACGGUCCUAAGGUAGCGAAAUUCCUUGUCGGGUAAGUUCCGACCCGCACGAAAGGCGUAAUGAUUUGGAUACUGUCUCGGAGAGGGGCUCGGUGAAAUAGACUUGUCUGUGAAGAUGCGGACUACCUGCACCAGGACAGAAAGACCCUAUGAAGCUUUACUGUAACUUGAGAUUGAAAUUGGACUUUAUUUGCGCAGUAUAGGUGGGAGACGUUGAGAAUAUUCUUGCGGGAGUAUUGGAGUCAUCAGUGAGAUACCACUCUUGUAAUGUUAGAUUUCUAACUUUGUAUCAUUAUCUGGUCAAAGGACAGUUUCAGGCGGGCAGUUUGACUGGGGCGGUCGCCUCCCAAACGGUAACGGAGGCGCACAAAGGUUUCCUCUGAACGUGUAGAAAUCGUAUCUAGAGUGUAAAGGCAUAAGGAAGCUUGACUGUGAGACCUACAAGUCGAGCAGGGACGAAAGUCGGUCUUAGUGAUCUGACGGUGCUGAGUGGAAAGGCCGUCACUCAACGGAUAAAAGUUACUCUAAGGAUAACAGGCUGAUCUCCCCCAAGAGUUCACAUCGACGGGGAGGUUUGGCACCUCGAUGUCGGCUCAUCGCAUCCUGGGGCGGUAGUACGUCCCAAGGGUUGGGCUGUUCGCCCAUGAAAGCGGUACGCGAGCUGGGUUCAGAACGUCGUGAGACAGUUCGGUCCAUAUCCGGUGUAGGCGUUAGAAUAUUGAGAGUAGCCUUCUUUAGUACGAGAGGACCGAGAAGGACAUACCUCUGGUGUACCAGUUAUCGUGCCAACGGUAAACGCUGGGUAGCUAUGUAUGGAGUGGAUAACCGCUGAAAGCAUCUAAGUGGGAAGCCCACCUCAAGAUAAGUAUUCU